rnacentral:tmRNA from 1 species
CUUGAGAAUUUCCAUUGACCCACCAUAUGGGAACCAUGGUUGUCAUUCCGGCAAGCCUAUGCCGUUCUGGACAGGGGUUCGAGUCCCCUCACCUCCACCUAAGCGUGGCGCAAGACGCGGCGCACUUAGGUGGGGGUGUAUCGGUUUCGACAGGGCGCGCAAAGGGGCGCAGGCAACUCGUCAGGCGAUCGACGCAAAUGAAGCAAAUCCAUAAACGCCAACGAUAAGCGUUUCGCACUGGCCGCCUAAGACCAACGCCGAGGCCGCUGAAGCCUUGUAACAGAAGACAGCCGGUGGGGACUUCGGUCUCCAUCGUCA